rnacentral:rRNA from 1 species
GACGAACGCUGGCGGCGUGCUUAACACAUGCAAGUCGAACGGAAAGGCCCUGCUUUUGUGGGGUGCUCGAGUGGCGAACGGGUGAGUAACACGUGAGUACCCUGCCCUUGACUUUGGGAUAACUUCAGGAAACUGGGGCUAAUACCGGAUAGUAGCUCCUGCUGCUUGGUGGGGGUUGGAAAGUUUCGGCGGUUGGGGAUGGACUCGCGGCUUAUCAGCUUGUUGGUGGGGUAGUGGCUUACCAAGGCUUUGACGGGUAGCCGGCCUGAGAGGGUGACCGGCCACAUUGGGCCUGAGAUACGGCCCAGACUCCUACGGGAGGCAGCAGUGGGGAAUAUUGCACGAUGGGCGGAAGCCUGAUGCAGCAACGCCGCGUGCGGGAUGACGGCCUUCGGGUUGUAAACCGCUUUCGCCUGUGACGAAGAGUGAGUGACGGUAAUGGGUAAAGAAGCACCGGCUAACUACGUG